UACGGGGGGGGCAAGCGUUGUUCGGAAUUACUGGGCGUAAAGGGCUCGUAGGUGGCCAACUAAGUCAUACGUGAAAUCCCUCGGCUUAACCGGGGAACGGCGUCUGAUACUGGAUGGCUUGAGUUUGGGAGAGGGAUGCGGAAUUCCAGGUGUAGCGGUGAAAUGCGUAGAUAUCUGGAGGAAUACCGGUGGCGAAGGCGGCAUCCUGGACCGGCAUUGACGCUGAGGAGCGAAAGCUAGGGGAGCAAACGGG
rnacentral:rRNA from 1 species